rnacentral:rRNA from 1 species
GGGGAGGUAGUGACGAAAAAUAACAAUGCGGGACUCUUCCGAGUCUGCGUAAUUGGAAUGAGCACACUCUAAAUCCUUUAGCAACAACCAAUUGGAGGGCAAGUCUGGUGCCAGCAGCCGCGGUAAUUCCAGCUCCACUAGCGUAUA